UCGUGAUCCCUCCCGCUUUGAGGUUCCGCCUUAUAGAGUUAUCUCUUAAAUAACCUGCCGUUUUACAAAGCGACGAAACUCCAUUAAACGAAAAGAGACAAAAAAAGAAGCUGCGGUGAUGAAACUCCAUUAGACAAAAGAAGAAGACGCGACGAAACUAAUUGCUCGUAUUUUUGACAAUGGAACCAGCUUGCUACAAGAAUAUCUUCUGGAAAUUGGAUGCUGAUGAAAAACAAAGUAAAUUGUAAACACCCAUUUCUUAAAAUUGUAAUUUUCUUGUAGUGUUUGACUUUCACGUGUGUCUUUAUUUUCUUUCCUUCUUUUCUUAGGACAUCCCUGCUGGUUCAGUAGACUGUGGAGUAGACAUGUUGAUGUGGCUGUGUGGCUGCAGAAGGGCAGCUGACUCGAGAACAAGGGGCUCAGGUUUAUGAGGCUGCAGAGAUCAGCAGGGCCUCCAGGAGGACUCAACAUAAAAACUGCUGGAGUUCAUCAUAAAAGGCAAUGGAGCAGAUGACCACUUGCUGGCUGUUGUAUCUGAAAAGGUGUCAUCCAAAUGGUUUAAAAAACGAUGAAGAUUCUAAAGGUUACCAGGUAAUGAGCUCUAUACAGUAGAAGAUGAGGAGCUGACAGAUGUUCUCCACAACUACCUGAUGAAGUGCUGUCAAGAGCUCUCGAGGAACAGUUGAGAGGAUUUCUCUACCAGAGGCAGAAGGUCUGUUAAUUGAUGGACCAGCAGACGGUGAGCGAAGAGUUUGACAAACUUGUGCUUCAACUGUUGGAGUACGAGGACAGACAACAUCACUGAGGCAUCUCAACUUAGGAUUCCAUCUCAGCCACUCCUCUAAUAAAUGCGUCACUGGCUUUAUUUGUCUUU